AUUGAACGCUGGCGGCGUGCCUAACACAUGCAAGUCGAGCGGUAACAGGUGUAGCAAUACAUGCUGACGAGCGGCGAACGGGUGAGUAAUGCUUUGGAAUCUUCCCAGUAGUGGGGAAUAACCAGUCGAAAGAUUGGCUAAUACCGCAUACGUCUGUAAAGGGAAAGCGGGGGACUCGCCUCUUCUUCGGAAGAGAGGCCUCGCGCUAUUGGAUGAGCCAAAGCGGAUUAGCUAGUUGGUGGGGUAAUGGCCUACCAAGGCGACAAUCCGUAGCUGGUCUGAGAGGACGACCAGCCACACCGGAACUGAGACACGGUCCGGACUCCUACGGGAGGCAGCAGUGGGGAAUAUUGGACAAUGGGGAAACCCUGAUCCAGCGACGCCGCGUGUGUGAAGAAGGCCUGCGGGUUGUAAAGCUACUUUUAGUGGGGACAAAAAGCUACGGAUUAAUACUCUGUGGUCUUGAUUUAACCUACAGAAAAGCACCGGCUAACUCUGUGCCAGCA
rnacentral:rRNA from 1 species